AGGACUAACGCUGGCGGCGUGCCUAACACAUGUAAGUCGAACGAGGGGUAGCAAUACCCCUAGUGGCAGACGGGUGAGUAACACGUAGUCAACCUACCUCUUAAUGGGGGAUAACUAGCCGAAAGGUUAGCUAAUACCGCAUACGAUCGUCGAGUGGCAUCACACGACGAUGAAAGGAGCAAUCCGUUGAGAGAGGGGACUGCGUCCCAUUAGUUAGUUGGUGGGGUAAUGGCCUACCAAGACUCCGAUGGGUAGCUGGCUUGAGAGAGCGACCAGCCACACUGGAACUGAGACACGGUCCAGACUCCUACGGGAGGCAGCAGUGAGGAAUUUUCCGCAAUGGGGGAAACCCUGACGGAGCGACGCCGCGUGUGGGAAGAAGGCCUUCGGGUCGUAAACCACUGUCGAGGGGACGAUAUUGACGGUACCCCUGGACGGAAGCCCCGGCUAACUACGUGCCAGCAGCCGC
rnacentral:rRNA from 1 species